UUCUCUUUCAAAGCCCUUCUUUCGUUCGAGAGCUUCUCUCUCUCUCUCUCUCUCAUACACACAAAAAAUGGUGAAUGAGCAACCGUCACCGUCGUCGCGGUCAUGGCUCCUCGAAGCACUGCCUUUCAUGGUGGUUCUCCUAAUAGCAGCUCACGUCUUCGCAUUGGUCUACUGGAUUUACAGAUUAGCCACCGAAAAACAACCUCAGAGGAGAAAGGCACACUAAGGAACACUCACAAACGGAAAAGAUUCUUGUUGGAAUACUGAUGGUGCAAUUGAAGGCCCUAUGCUACUGGCGGUUUUACGAUUGAUGAUGGAUUAAAUUUUGCACAGAUAUUCCUUUCUUUUUCCAUUUCUUUUUCCUUACCUGAAAAGCAUGAGCAUAGUUGAGCUAUAUAAACCCAGCUCAAAAUAUCAUCCCUCUUCCCCAAAAUGGAACCAUAUCUAUUUUUUGCUCAAAUUGUUGUGUUUUGGUUUCUUUCUUCCCAGAAAGUUUGGAUGGUAUAUACUGUAACUUAUCCCUACGUUUACUUGUAUCCUAAUUCUAACAUUUCUAAUUCUACUUGAAAGAUUUUUCUCAAUA